UUUCCGUAGGUGAACCUGCGGAAGGAUCAUUAUUGUAUAACCGAGGUGCGAGGGCUGUCGCUGACCCGAAAGGUCGUGCACGCCCGAGUGCCCUCACACAUCCAUCUCACCCCUAUGUGCACCACCGCGUGGGUCCCCCUUUGGCUUGUUCGGAGGGGGGCUUACGUUUUCACACAAACUCUGUAUGCAGUGUAGAAUGUAUUUUUUGUUUUUGCGAUCACGCAAUCAAUACAACUUUCAACAACGGAUCUCUUGGCUCUC
rnacentral:misc_RNA from 1 species